AUCAACGCUGGCGGCGUGCCUAACACAUGCAAGUCGCACGAGAAAGGGACUUCGGUCCUGAGUAAAGUGGCGCACGGGUGAGUAACACGUGAAUCAUCUACCUUCGAGUGGGGAAUAACUGAGAGAAAUCUUAGCUAAUACCGCAUAAUACCUACGGGUCAAAGCAGCAAUGCGCUUGAAGAGGAGUUCGCGGCAGAUUAGUUAGUUGGCGGGGUAAUGGCCCACCAAGACGAUGAUCUGUAUCCGGCCUGAGAGGGCGCACGGACACACUGGAACUGAAACACGGUCCAGACUCCUACGGGAGGCAGCAGUGGGGAAUUUUGCGCAAUGGGGGAAACCCUGACGCAGCAACGCCGCGUGGAGGAUGAAAUCCCUUGGGAUGUAAACUCCUUUCGAU
rnacentral:rRNA from 1 species